rnacentral:rRNA from 1 species
CUACGGGUCGCACCAGUAAGGAAUUUUGCGCAAUGGGCGAAAGCCUGACGCAGCAACGCCGCGUGACCGAUUGAAGCUUUGAGGAGUGUAAAGGUCUGUCGCGAGGGAAGAAUGUGUCCGAUGAGAAUAUUGUCGGAUUUUGACGGUACCUCGUGAGAAAGCUCCGGCUAACUCCGUGCCAGCAGCCGCGGUAAUACGGGGGGAGCUAGCGUUAUCCGGAAUCACUGGGCGUAAAGGGCGCGUAGGCGUCCUAGUAAGUCUUUGGUGAAAUGUUCCUGCUCAACGGGAAACCUGCCGAAGAUACUGUGAGGAUUGAGUUCGAGAGAGGGAAGCGGAAUUCCUGGUGUAGCGGUGGAAUGCGUAGAUAUCAGGAGGAACACCGGUGGCGAAGGCGGCUUCCCGGCUCGAAACUGACGCUGAGGUGCGAAAGUGUGGGUAGCGAACAGGAUUAGAUACCCCCGUAGUC